rnacentral:rRNA from 1 species
AGAACGAACGCUGGCGGCAGGCCUAACACAUGCAAGUCGAGCGCCCAGCAAUGGGAGCGGCGCACGGGUGAGUAACACGUGGGAAUAUGCCCUUUGGUUCGGAAUAACUCAGGGAAACUUGAGCUAAUACCGGAUAAGCCCUUACGGGGAAAGAUUUAUCGCCAUUGGAGUAGCCCGCGUCCGAUUAGCUAGUUGGUGAGGUAACGGCUCACCAAGGCGAUGAUCGGUAGCUGGUUUGAGAGAACGACCAGCCACACUGGGACUGAGACACGGCCCAGACUCCUACGGGAGGCAGCAGUAGGGAAUCUUGGACAAUGGGCGAAAGCCUGAUCCAGCCAUGCCGCGUGAGUGAAGAAGGCCUUAGGGUUGUAAAGCUCUUUUGGCGGGGACGAUAAUGACGGUACCGCAGAAUAAGCCCCGGCUAACUUCGUGCCAGCAGCCGC